rnacentral:rRNA from 1 species
GACGAACCGUGCGAACGUUGUUCGGAAUCACUGGGCAUAAAGGGCGCGUAGGCGGCUCGCGAGGUCGGGGGUGAAAUCCCACAGCUUAACUGUGGAAGUGCCUUCGAUACGGGCAGACUGGAGGUAUGCAGGGGAGAACGGAAUUCCUGGUGUAGCGGUGAAAUGCGCAGAUAUCAGGAGGAACACCGGUGGCGAAGGCGGAUCUCUGGGCCAUAACUGACGCUGAGGAGCGAAAGCAUGGGGAGCGAACAGG